rnacentral:rRNA from 1 species
GGGGCACGGGGGGCCUACGGGAGGCAGCAGUAGGGAAUCUUCGGCAAUGGACGAAAGUCUGACCGAGCAACGCCGCGUGAGUGAAGAAAGGUUUUCGGAUCGUAAAACUCUGUUGUUAGAGAAGAACAAGGAUGAGAGUAAAAUGUUCAUGCCUUGACGGUAUCUAACCAGAAAGCCACGGCUAACUAANAAGU